GACGAACGCUGGCGGCGUGCUUAACACAUGCAAGUCGAACGGAAAGGCCCUGCUUUUGUGGGGUGCUCGAGUGGCGAACGGGUGAGUAACACGUGAGUAACCUGCCCUUGACUUUGGGAUAACUUCAGGAAACUGGGGCUAAUACCGGAUAGGAGCUCCUGCUGCAUGGUGGGGGUUGGAAGGUUUCGGCGGUUGGGGAUGGACUCGCGGCUUAUCAGCUUGUUGGUUGGGUCGUGGCUUACCAAGGCUUUGACGGGUAGCCGGCCUGGGAGGGUGACCGGCCACAUUGGGACUGAGAUACGGCACAGACUCCUACGGGAGGCAGCAGUGGGGAAUAUUGCACAAUGGGCGGAAGCCUGAUGCAGCAACGCCGCGUGCGGGAUGACGGCCUUCGGGUUGUAAACCGCUUUCGCCUGUGACGAAGCGUGAGUGACGGUAAUGGGUAAAGAAGCACCGGCUAACUACGUG
rnacentral:rRNA from 1 species